AACCUGUGUUCUACAAAUAUGUAUAUGAUAUGUUCCAGUGGGACGUCUGAACUAGGAGAGAACAAACAGGUUAUAAGAAGGAGACGAGCCUACCUAGAGAUGUGUCUGUGUGCCCAUGAAGCUAGCGUAACAGACGCAGCAAAUGCUUAAUACACUUCAGACCAUCCAUACCAGAGAGGCACCGAUACCCAAGGAGUGGCAGAAUGAACAAAAAUAUAGAGAGCCAUAAGACACAGUGGUGGGAGACAGGAGAAACCAGAGGACCUGGGAAGUCAUAUGGAUCAUUUUCCCUGAGCACAGAGUUUGUGGAGAGAUGGGGAGAGAGCAUCUGGAAAAUCCCAUGGGAGACAACUGGCAUUGUCCUUAAGUGGAGACAAGCAAGAAGGUGGCUGUCUCUUAAGCUGAGGAGAGAGGUUAUCACCAGAACCCAACUCUGCUGGCACCCUGAAAUCAUGGACUUCCAGACUUCUAGCCUCCAGACUUCCAGAAAAUACAUUUCUGUUGUUAAUCAACCCAGUCUGCAGUAUUCUGUUAUGGCAGUGCAAGCUGACUCACACAAGAGGGGAGGGGGAGAUAGAGGGUGGCCUGCCCCCCAAGGAGGCAACAGAAUAUAUAGACACCGCUGCUACACUAUCCACCAGGCAUUCUGACCCUUGUGCAUGUGUGUAGGGUUUCUGAUUAAAGUCCCAGAAAUAAACAGGCUAAUUUGUGGGCUGAAAAUGCCAUAAAGAUCUGUGCUAAAGAUCUAUGGGGUUAAUCUGAAACAAUUAGCAAUUCAAAGAUUUAUUUACUACAGAUGCACAGCAGAUUCCCAUUAGAGUGCAAUAUUCAGAAAAUCAAAACAUAUGUGGCAAAAGAGAAUCUAGACAUUUCUCUAAAAUUCAGAGUAAUUGAAGAAUUAAAUCCUAAUGUGGGACGUAGGGAGAAAGGAAGGUGGGCAGAGUAGAAUAAAGAGUAAAGAGUCUUAAGACACAUAUUUUCCUGAAGUGUAGGAAAUGAAAUUUUCAAGUAUUGUGAUUGCAACUGGUUAUUUAAAUAUGGCUUUGGAUGAAAAAAAAAAAUCUUCCAGUUUAGUUCAGUACUAAGUUAAAAGUAAACUCAAGGCAAAAUAUAUUGUGAAAUCCAUAAAAGACCCAUUUGGCCAAACUCUAUUCUUUUUCACUGCGUAUUUAAUUCUGCAUGUGUUUCUUCUCAUGUAUGCCCUACAAACAUCAAUUUAAAAUGCCCAUAGUUUUAUUACUAAAGACUAGAUAGGAACUGAAUUUCUUGUGUUUCUGGGGAUCAGAAAAGGCUACUUUAUGCUGUGUUACCAAUUAAGUCAUAUGCCUCAAGCCAGGUUUUGAAAUCUAGAGAGUUGAGAGAACCACAUUUCUUUAAAAUGCUGUGAUAAUUUUCCAGCCAAUGCAGUUAGAUUUUAUUUGGAAUUUUAAUAUUACUUUCUUUCCCCUAUCACUUAGAAAAUAUUCUUGAAGGGGCAUGAAUAAGUGAAAAAAAAAAUUCUUGCAGGGGCAUGAAUAAGUGACCAGAGACUUUUGAAAUACAAAAAAAGAAAAAAAAAAUAGAAAAAAAAUGUGGCUGGACAUUGUGCUGGUGCUUUCACAAAUAUUAGUUAAUUUAGAGCAAUUCCAGCAAGUCAGAUAUGUAUUUUACAGAUUAGAAAACCAAGUAACACUAAGUAAUAGGUAAGCCGUCAUAUCACCAGAAUGUGGUAGAGACAGAGGAUGGAGGUCCCAAGGACACUGAUCAGAAGGUGCAGAUCUGUAUGUGUCAACACAAAGAGACAAGAUGAUACAACACAUGAUAAGGAAAUUUCCUUUAUCUGUGACAUCUUCCAAGCAUAGCCUGCGUACCCAAUUACUAAAGCCCUUUACCUUUCCACUUGCCAUCUUUUUGGGUGUUCGUUCUCUCAAUGAGAAAAGAGUAUCACCCUCCAGGAAGCUCUUCUACACUCGGAUAAGAGAUUUAAAGGGGCUUGAGACCAGAAGAGGCACAGGAACGACAAGGACAACUAUAAUAUGUGGUAGCUGAGAUAUGAAGAACUGUUCAUCUUUUUUAAACAAAAUCAAUCAUCUUUUUAACAAAAUCAGUCUGGUUCCUCAACAGAGCAGGUUCACUAACAAAAAUAGGUCUGGUCUAGAAACAUAAUAUAAAGGCAAGAUGACAACAGCACACUUCCGAAAGGUUUUUCUAGUUCUCACACAGAAUGUCCCAGAAUUCUAAAAUAUUUAUUACUUCUUAAAGUUAAUAGUUAAUAAUCCUUUGAAUCAUUAUCACCUGUAGAACAGAUGAUUCACAUGAAAACAAAGGCAUCUUAACAGUGACCUAAAAAGUAAUCCAAG
rnacentral:lncRNA from 1 species